rnacentral:rRNA from 1 species
AUUGAACGCUGGCGGCAUGCUUUACACAUGCAAGUCGAACGGUAACAGGCCGAAAGGUGCUGACGAGUGGCGAACGGGUGAGUAAUGCAUCGGAACGUGCCCAGUCGUGGGGGAUAACGCAGCGAAAGCUGUGCUAAUACCGCAUACGAUCUAUGGAUGAAAGCGGGGGACCGUAAGGCCUCGCGCGAUUGGAGCGGCCGAUGUCAGAUGAGGUAGUUGGUGGGGUAAAGGCUCACCAAGCCAACGAUCUGGAGCUGGUCUGAGAGGACGACCAGCCACACUGGGACUGGGACACGGCACAGACGCCUACGGUAGGCAGCAGUGGGGAAUUUUGGACAAUGGGCGCAAGCCUGAUCCAGCAAUGCCGCGUGCAGGAAGAAGGCCUUCGGGUUGUAAACUGCUUUUGUACGGAACGAAAAGGUUUGGGUUAAUACCCUGGGCCGAUGACGGUACCGUAAGAAUAAGCACCGGCUAACUACGUGCCAGCCGCCGCGGUAA